rnacentral:lncRNA from 1 species
CAAAGUACUGGGAUUACAGGUGUGAGCCACCACGCCCAGCCAGAGGAGACAAUUUUAAACCCAGCUCCAAGGAGCCAGCGCAGGAUGCCUGCCUCUCCCAGGGCCCGACACACUGAAAAGUGGAGACGUGGCUUUCCGCAGAUAUAUCAAGACAGUGGUGCUAAGCAUGUUCAGGAUGUUUAAGAUACAAGUUGGAGAAAAAUACUUAAGAAAAGCUUCUCUUUCAGAAAGCAAUUUGGCCAUCUGUAUUAAGAACUAUAAAAAUGUGUAAACCAUAUCUGAACCCAUAAUCCCACAUCUGAAAAUCUAGCCUGGGAAAAUGAUCCUAAAUGUGGAACAAACCAACACAGAAUAAACUUCAGACUCCAAGAUGUUCAUUAUGGUAUUACUUACACUCACGGAAAAUUGGACAUUACCUAAGGGACUUCUAAGAGAGAAAAGACAAGUUAAUUAUGAUGGAAUUCUACGAUCAACUACUAUGAAGGUAUGGAAAGUGAUGAUGAUGAAGACUAUGAAAUAACAUGGGAAGAUGCUGAUGAUAAAGAAUUUAAGGAAAAAGCAGGAUACAAAAGUUUAUACACACACAGCAUGAGCUCAACUGUGGUUUAAUUUAAAAGAAGUUAAACUCUCAGACCCUGUAUGACGGGCUGGCUUCCAGCAACCUCAGCAUUUCCGAGAGAGCCCACAGAGGCCCUGGUCUUGCCUAGGAGACCCCAGGGCCUGAGGAUGGCACACUCAUGGGAUUAUUUACAUAGCCUCCCCCUGACCAGCAGGGCCCUGGCUCUGGGUUGAUUUGAGGACAUGUGAACAUUACCAGGGUGGUGGUGGCAGCGGUGGUGGCAGCAGCAGUGGCAGCGGUAGUUAGGUCGGCAUUCCUCUCUCUCUCUCUCUCUCUAGGAGGCGGAAAGUACAGAAGAGAAGGUAGGUGGAGAAUAAGAAGCAGAUCAGAGAGGAACUCCUCCUUCCACUUGCUUUGCUACAAACAGGAUUAACAAGUAAAGGUAAAAGGCCCCUGCUAGAAGGAAAACAAAAAAGAAGAAAAAGAGAAAAGGGUGGAUGCAAGGGAGAGAGGUGAGGAAAAGAGAGGCAAAUGUCAAAGCUGCAAGGGAAAAGGGGCCCAUUCUGAUGACCACUGUUCCAAUGCAAAAACAAAUUCCUAAUAAGCUGUCAUUCCUUGUCACAGAGUCAUGGGUGAGCAGAAAAAAUGGCAUUUCCCAGAACAAUGUCCAUGGAAGCAAUUCACCAGCAAAUUGAGUCCCCAGAGAACAGAGACACACAUAGACUAGGUGGGGCACACAGCAAAGGGGCAACACUCAAACAGUGAUGGUGCAGAGACACUCCCUGGCCUUCCCACUCCCAUUCCCCACCCCGGCAAGCUCCAAAGGGUCCAAGUGCCCGAAGGAAGGGGAGGCUACAGGACAGGACCAGCCCUACCCCACUCCUCCCAAGCUCCGUUCCCACACACAUCAAUCUGUGCACUGACAGCUGAGGUAGAAAAUGGAAGGCCGGGAUGGGGGGAUGGUAGAGAUGAUCAAGAUAGAAACCAAACCAAUGAGGCCAUAAGCCCAGGCAGCUGUCCUCACUAAUGGGAUAGACCCAGGAGUCUGCUUCUCCCCAGUUGAUCUUGACCUUGUGUAGGAACCAGCUGCUUGGACCAGUGACAGAGACAACUGCUGAGGUAGGGUGACAGAUACUCUUGCUCACUGAGGGUACAAAGGACUGUCUCCAAAUCCAUCCUCAACCAGCCUGGAACUAUCACCCCAUCAUCCUAAAACAGUGCACAGAAGAAAAGGAAACAGUAGAAAACUUCAAAGCCAGACAGAGUCCUCAGGGCAGCCCUCCCUCCAUUUCUCCACAGCCUUUCAGGCAGGCUCCAGCUCUGCUUCCUGGCCAUCGUGUGCUUACCUGUGGAGCCUUCCCUCUGCAGGAACAAUCAGAAGACCAUUUGCCUUACUCUGGGGGAUGGGGGGAGGUGGGAGGUUCAAAAUUCAAAGUGAGACCAUAAAGGUGCUGAGUCCAAAGGACCCUAAAGGAGUUUUGUGACCAUUAACAAUCACAAGGCUAAGGUAUUAAUAGGUUUUCUGCAUUUUUCCUGAUAAGGGAGGUCACCCCAAGGACUGUCACAGGCAGCCUGUGCUCUGGUCAGCAUUGAGCUGGAAGCUUCGGGGAGAGGCCCAAGGGAGGGAUCCUGCAAGUUCCCAAGGGUCAGGACCUGGCCCCACUGGGAACGGAGGCUUCACUUCCAAGAGGCACAGAUUUAGGCAGAAGACCAGGAGUAGGGAGUCCUGAGACUAGGGAUAAACAAAGGGGCAGGAAUCCUGGAGAGAAGCCCCGUGCUCCACUCACUGACUGCGUCUGUACUGACUAUGUACCAGCUGUGUGGUCAGAGAGAAAGAAGGGAGGCAGACAUGAGGGACUCAGAGUCCGGGGGCUGGGGUGAGGCUGGAACUCAGAUAAUCAUCCCUUUCCAGAAAGUUCUGAGCAGCCUGGGAGCAGCAGGGAAGGAGAAGUCAGCUCUAUUCCAGGGGCUCCACAGAACUAAUGAGGUUGGGGAGGGAAGCUUAAAAGAUAGCCAGAGACACACUAGGAACACAGGGGACAGCAUAAGCAAAGGCACACAGAGGGGAGAACAGAGGUGUCUGGGUGGAGAUGGGGAGUCCAGUGAAGUGGAGAGGAGGAGGAAGUGGCUGGAGGUAGGUCAGGGUCUCGGAUGCUAAGCUUGGGCCUUCCGACCAUUUAGACCGUUGCCUGUAGGCAGUCGUGAAAUGCUAACAGGUUUAAAAGAGGAAGUAACAUGGUCAGAACCAGAAAAAUCCUGGGCAGCUGAGGGAGAGGAACAGAGGUGCCAGAAGAUAUGCAAUCGGAAUUGGAGAGACCAGUUCUGUGUACUGGCUGUGGGGCAAAGGGCUGCCAUGGUUGUGACAAACCCACCUGGCCAGCUGUGCCUGCAUUCCUUACUCAUUUUGUAAUUUUUAUGAUGGGCAAUCCCACAAACAUUCUGCAUUCCUUAAUUUAGGGCUAGUGCUACCAGGUGGUGACCUGCCCUCCCUUCACCUUGAGUGAAGUCUCGUUUCCGGGUUUGAGUAUUAGGAAAUGCAGCAUGCAUCCCUGUUUGCUAUGAUGUCUUCUCCUUCUGUUGCUUCUUUUCUUGCUGCCGUUGAAGUUGGAAUGCUAUAUCUUGAAAUCCACGUCUCAGAGUACAAGGAGUCAAAUAGUAUUCUCCCAUGCUGGUGAGCUAAGGUCAGGGGUGGGAGGAGAGACCUUAAGGAAAAAGAGCAACUCUUGUUCUUCUAUAUCUCAACCAGGAAAGCCUCUCCCGGCUCAUUCCUUCAAUAUCCUUAUUUUAAGAUAUAAGUUAGUACAAUAAUUACAGAGGCAUAAGCCAAAUGGGAGUGGUUAACAGCUUACUAUAGACAGAGUAUGAGUCAUAACAACUUGUGAAAGUUCACUCCUGUGUGUAAAGCUUGAUACGUGGCCCUAUUUUGAAGAGGCUUAUAGGCCCGGGAUGGCCUCUGAGAUUCUGCCACCUGGCUCACUCCACUAUCCAUUACCCUCUGACUCCAAGGAGUUCAAACCAAUAGGAGGAAGGGUCCUGAUGCGGGCCCUGAGUGGGGGUGCAGCAGGAGGCGGUGGGAGCCAUGAAGAAUUCACCACCACAGAAGCAGGCAGAGGAAGCAGGCAGAGGAAACAGGCAGGAUGAAUGGAGAGUGGAGAGGCAGGAGUGGACCCUCCUAGUAACGGCUGGUAUUUACUGAAGGUUUACCAUGAGAAGGAUGCCUCAUAACCCUCCCCACCAAGGAGGAAACUGAGGCCUGCAGAGCUUAAGUAACCUGCCUGAGGUCACUGACUGUAAAGUGGCAGUGCCAGGACUGAACCCAGGCAGUCUGAGCACACAGCACACUCUCAGCCCUGGAUACCAGACUGUGAGCAACACUGGGGGCACCCUGGCCAUGAGGAGUGUCACUGAUGCCCUGAGAAGGCACUAAACCUGGAGUCAGACGCUGGGGUUUGAGCCGCAGCCCUACUGUUGUCUAUGUGACUUUCGGAGCCUGUCCCUCUCUGAGCCUGUUUCCUCACCUGUGACAUGGAGCAGAAGUUUCUACAUUGUCUGGCCUCAGGGGUCUAGGCAAAUCCUAGCAGUGACUGAAUGGGAAGCCAAGGAAGUGGAAAUGGGACAUGGCCCCUACUUCAAGUAGAAUGAAACCCUUGUGACCUGCUGUAAGCGGAAGGUUGUGUAGCAUUUCAAUGGGGCAGAAAGAAAUCUGAUACUGAAAAGCCUGUUUGGGAACCCUUGGACUAAAUGUCUCAGAAGCCACUCCAUUUUGAGCAUUACUUCUGUCUAAUCUUAAAUGGUAUGUGUGUGUGUGUACAUGUGUGUGCAUGUGUAUGUGUGUGUGGGAAUGAAAAGUCAAAAUGACAGCAGGGUGUCUGGGCCAGGGAUAAGCUGAGAGGCUAUAAAGAGGGCUAACAGCCCAUAAGGUUUAUUUGCUCAACAAACAGUGCAGAAAGGUCAAAACCAGGUGCUACAAAAUCCCUUUCUUCUUCUAGAAUAUAACCAUAAAACAGAUAACACAGGCAGUUCCUAAUUUGUAGACAGGAUGUGCUCCAAAUGUUUCUCCUUCCACCUCUUUUUUUUCAGGGUUCAGGUUUCCCAUUACCAUUUUAUUAUUUAUUAGGUAAUAUUCUUUACUGGAAAGGUAUGGCAGAGUUUAAGCAUUUCUCAACUUAGUUAUCUGGACUCUGACCAUAUUUUCCCAAAAUGAUCAAUUAGGGUGAGAUUGGAGCAGAUGAUAAGAGAGUAGCUGGGGAAGUGGGAGAAAAAGCAGAAAAGAUUCUCCUAAGGUGGAAAGUUAACCCUUGGAGAAGGAAAGGAUGAAGAGAAAAAAAAGUAUGAGGAAAAGCAAAGAAAAAAAAAAGAUGAUAUUGACAAGAUAAGAAAAAAGGAGGUAUAUAUGUUUGAAAAACCAAAACUAAAAUAUUCCUGAUGCUAAGUUGUGAAGUGGGAAGAGGAGGGAGGGAGGGAGGACGGGCAGUUCCUAGUGUUCCAGGGAAAGCAGGGAGGCAGCUGGGAGGAGAUGCUAACUUAGGCCCGCUUUCCCCAAAGUGUGACUCACAAAACACUCAUCACUUGAGACGGUUCUUGGAAAAGUUGUCUCGUCAGGCAAGCUCAGGAAACACUUCUGGGGUUACAGUGUACACCGGGGUACCAAAGGCUCUGCGGGAAUGAGACCUGCUUUACAUGGUUCAACCCAACAUUCCUCAAGCGUAUUUCGCUCCAUUUGGGGAAGCACACUUUUGGAGAAGCACUCUCUUAGGUGGUGCCCAGUGUUAGCCAGCACAGCUGUGCCACCGGUCUGAGCUGGCUUGGUUAGUUGUUCCAUCUACUCGGAUUGAGGUGGGCAGGAGCAUGUAGCUGGCAGAGGACAUUCAGAAAUCUACUGUGUUGAGCCUGGGGAGUAUGUAAAUUGUAUCAUAGGAAUUUAAGCUGAUGGCUAGAUUUUACUGGUCCAAUAUUUGACUUCAAAACAGGGAAGUCUCACAUUCACCUAAACUGCAACAUAUCUAGACGUAGCAUCCCACCCUCCAGUCUUCCUUGAAAACAGCCACCUCAGUUCAAAAAUUCAGCAUCAUCGCUAACUCUUUUAUCCUCUUUACCCAAGUAUAUAUUUUAUUUAUUUAUUUAUUUAUUUUAUUUUUUUGAGACAGAGUCUCACUCUGU